CCUUUGUCGAUCAUGUUUUAUAUCAAGAAUACAGUUAAAUAUACGAUUUUUACUGACAAACGAUCAAUAUGUAUGUUUUGAUAAAUUCCGCUCUGAAAUAUUUUUAGCGACUUUAGAUUGUAGAAUUUUUAGCCUCCUCUCCUCCAUCAAAUCCUGAUUCCUCAUCGUCGCCCGUCCGUCCUGUAAGAAUAUCGGAACCCUCAUCGUUACAUGAUGACUACAUCAGUCGAUUAGAAAAUCUACAACAGCGUCUCAGUGGAAUGGAUUCUGGUACACCAAAGUCAAGGUCGUAUCCACGGAGAGAGAACAUUAAACAUAAUCACCUCAUCAUUUACGUGAUGUCACUGUCACCUUGACCUCCAAGAGCAGCAUUUACAAAAUCCUUUAUUUUACGGCAAUCAAUGAAAAAUCAAAGAAAACAUUUUUGUUUCACGCAAACUUUUGUGACAAUUCUUGAAACUUUGAAAAUCAUGACAUGUGUAAAGACAGCAGUAACUGAAUCAAGUGUGAGGAAUGUUGAUAUGGGAACAAAUCAUUCUAUCACAUUAAUUUUACUCUCAGAAAUCUGUGUUAUUCACCAAAGUCCUCAUGUUUGAGAAGAAUGUUUUUACUUUAUUUGAUUUACCAUUUGCCCCGUAUUUUUUUCAACGUAUUCCAUUAACGGUGACCGUUAUGCAAACAAUAGAGCAAUAUUUUAUGAUAUUAGAAAUAAUAUUACUAAAUGUAUGUUUCACACAUAUGUAAAAAGUUGUGUUGCAAUAGUGGUGAACAUAUUGUGUGUGUGUGUUUUGUUCUGAGGUUUAUCGUUGAUUUUACUAUGAUACACUAGUCUGCUAAUGCUGUGAUGAUUAAAACAGUCUACGGAAGACUCGUCCACUUGUCAAUCUAUUGAAGAAAAGGUUGCAUCUUUUUAUACUCUGUUUCAGAAUAUCUAAGUGACAAAAUCAUCUUUGAUUUUAAUGACACAAAGGGAAAUAACUCUGAAUAAAAAGGACACUGUAUAAGUAUCAGGGGAAGUGAGAAUAUCUUAUUAUAAAGUGAUUUGUAGGAAAAUCUGCUCCUUGUAAAUAUUUUCCUUCAUUUCUAUUCAAUCUUUUUAAAUAUUUUAAGGAUUUUGGUAUUUUUAAAACAAAAAUACUAAUAGUUGGUGUUUACAAUAGUUAUUGUUUAAUUAGUUUUGUGAGUUGAAUAUCAUUGUUUUGAUCAGUAUCAUGUUCUAAACUGUUUAAGGAAAGCUCUCAUUUGAUGUGUGCGGUACUCGUACAAUAGCAAUGUGCUACUGUCAAAUCCAGAUGUUUGUUUAAAGGGAAACUUUGAUUCAUAUUUCCAGAAAUAUUUCAAGAAGUGAACAUCAAUCAGUGAAAAGAGAAGCACACACUGCAAUGGAAAUAAAAUUGAUUUAUUUUAAACCAUAUAUACAUGUAUAUUAACAUUCUGUGUCAUUUGAAUUAGUCACUUGAUAUUUUGAAUGAAUUUCAUUAGUGUCAUGUAUAAUGUAUAUAAUUUGGAAUAUAUGUUUGAAUUGGCCAUUAAACAAUCAAAAUACUUUAAACUUUAUCAUGCUUUCUUUGUUUUGUGAAUGUAAUGGGAAGCAAAAUGUAGCGUAAAUCCUGGUCCAUGCACCAAAGAAGUAACAGGAAGCGUUUGUGUAUGCCGAGAUUGAAAUAAGUCUAGCUUCUCCCAAAGUACAAAUUAUAUUGCGUUUUAAAAAGAACUCGCUACAGGUAGUACUUGGGAUCAGAAGACUUAUCAUACUACAGAAAUUAUGGAACACAGUGUUUCCUUGUUGUAUCCAGGUUCAGUUGUUAUUCCUAGAUUGUGUUCAAAACCUUGUUUGAAAUGAAAGACCUGUAAAGUUUAUAAAUUUAUUUUAGCAUAAGUAAGUAUGGUUUAAGAGUAGUUGAUAUCAAAUAAACUUCGUGAAAAUGAAUGAAUAUAAUCUCGGAGGAAUGUAAAAUUUAACCCCACCCCCAAACUAGAGUAGUACAAACAGUACAACAUAAACCCGUCGGCCAAUGAGCCUUCGACUAAAUAUGGCAAUAUCUGUAUCCGUAAUUAAAAAAGCCUGGAAAACUGCCAGACCUAUUUUUAGUCCAAAAGUAGGUUAAGGAUGGGCCAAUCCACCUGAAAUGCAAACUCAACUGGUAUUCCUCUGAGAGGAAGCCUUUGACUAAAUAUCAGGGCAAAAUAUGUAUCCCUAAUGAACAAAAAAAACAGCCCGGAAAAGUGUUUGACCUAAAAAAAAAAAAAGACAAAAAAAUCAAGGAUAGACCAAUCCUGCUGAAAUGCAAACUGAACUUGUACUCCCCCUAGAGGAAGCCUCUUGCUAAAUUUCAGGGCAAUAUCUGUAUCCAUAAUAAAAACAAAAUGUGUUUGUUAAAAACAAAUGCCCCCGAUAAUGGCCAAUUCCGAAGAUGGCCAAGGUAGCAGAAGAAGGAUUUUGUCACAGGAAAUGCUCAUGUACAAUAUGAAAGCUCUAAUAUUUAUCAUUUAGAAGUUAUGACUAAUGACAUCUUUUUAAAAAGUAGGUCAAAUGUCAAGGUCAAAAGGUUUAGUACAAACGGAAAGGUCUUGUCACAAGGAAUACUCAGGAGAAAUAUCAAAGCUCUAUCACAUACUGUUAAAACGUUAUUAGCAAGGUUAAAGUUUCUGACAGAAUUACAGACAGAACAAAAACAAUAUGCCCCCCCCUAUCUUCGAUCUUGUUGGCAUAAAAAAAGUCCGGAAAACUGUAUGACCUAUUUUUAGUUGAAAAGUAGGUCAAGGAUGGACCAAUCCAGUUGAAAUGCAAACUGAACUUCUAUUCCUCUGAGAGGAAACCUAUGACUAAAUAUCAGGGCAAUAUUUGAAAAUGUAAUGGAAAAAGCCCGUAAACUGUUCGAUCUAUUUUCAGUUUAAAAGUAGUUCACGGAUAAAUCAAUCCAGUUGAAAUGCAAACUGAACUUGUAUUCAUCCAAGAGGAAGCUCCCGACUAAAUUUCUGUAUCCAUAAUGGAAAAAAGCCUGGAAAACUAUUUGACCUACUAUCAGUCCUAAUGUGCGUCGCAGACGGACAGACCAAUACAGCAGAAAUGCAAACUGAACUUGGAUUUCUCUGAAGGAAGCUCUUGUGUAAAUUUCAGGACAAUGUAUCUGUAUCCGUAACCAAAAAAGUGCGGUAAACUGUUUGACCUACUUAUAGACCUAAAGUAGGUCAUCGAUGGAGCUAUCCAGCUGAAAUGCAACCUCACUCUUACAAUUCUUGAGGGAUAUAUUGUGACCAAAUUUCAAAUUGCAUGCAUCUGUUACGGAAAAAAGUCCGGAAAACAUGAUCCCGGACGGACGGACAGCGCCAAAACAUAAUACGUCCUCUGAACCAAAGUAAACUUCGACUCUGUCUAGAACAAUCCAACUCUAAGGACCGUUUCCCAACUCUACGUUAGUUUUACUCACUGUAUGCUGAAAAACCCUACUCUACCUGAACAAAUUAAUUCUUGU